GAGAGAGAGAGAGAGAGAGAGAGAGAGAGAGAGAGAGAGAGAGAGCGAGAGAGAGCGCUGAUGCAGAGUUAAGGAGGCAGAGCCCAGCUGCACACCUUGCCGGCCAAAGCUGCAGGAAGCUCCUGCACCCUCAGCCCUGUCGGUACCAGGUAGAGGUCAGAGCAGAACAAAAGGGAAAAAGAGAAAAGCCCCGCGGAUAUAGGGUUGGGUCAAGGGACAACAGAGUCAUCAGUUUUCCUGAGGGUCCCAAGCCAACUCCAGGUAAUGAGAAUUGCAGGUCACCUUGAGCAGCAGACAAGGCCAACUCACUUGUCACUCCCACCCCCUCAGACCCUGACAUCAAGGGUGUGUGGCUAGAAGACCCCAUUUCCACCAUGAGAGGUGUCCUCCCUGUACUGGCAAAUAUGGGGAAACAAGACCAUUUACAGCUUCCCAGGAGACACAUGUGAGCAGCCUGCUUCCACCCAGGCCACUUCCCACGUGGUGAGGCACAUGUCUGAGAGGUCCCUGCAGCAUCAUUUAUGGUUCAAACAGUACAAUCCAGACGUCAUCGACUAAUGACCAGGGAGCAACACACGACAUGUUGAUAGAAUGGAAUAUUAUUUGGCCAUAAAAAACCCAAAGCAGUGCUCCAUACUCUUAAAAAUAAGAUGCAGAGUCAACACAAAAGACCACAAACUGAUCUCAUGUAGCCCAGGCUGCCAGCAAGCUUACUGUGUGGCUGAGGAUGACCUUGAACUUCUGAUCUUCCUGCCUCCACCUCUGGAGUGCUAGGAUUAAAGAUGCAAAGUGAUCAGCCCCCUCAUGUUCUACCACUGUGAUCCUCACCACGAUGAACUGCAUCCUCAAACUAUGAACCAACACAAGCCCUUCCUUAAAUUACUUCUUUCAGGGUCUGAGCGGCUAUGGGACUAGCAGGUGAGAGAGAUUUGUCCUGACUGUGGGCCAGGCAGGAAAACUCUAGCUACAGAGCCCCUCCUGCGGACCCUAACCCAUUACCUGUCAUCCUUGAGGACAGUCAGAUGGCACCCUGAUUUCUACUCACCACAGGAUGGCCUUCCAGGCAACGAGGGACACAAAAGGCAAGGAGAGCUGGUGAACCCCUUAUCCUAUGUGGGUCCUAGACUGAUUUUCAAUCUAGAUGGAUCCCACAAGCAAGGAUAAGGGGCAGACAGGCCAGUAAAAGGAUGGAUGAACAAAUGGACAGAUGAACUGAUGGACGGACAGACGGAUGGAUGGAUGGAUGGAUGGAUGGAUGGAUGGAUGGAUGGGUGUGUGGGUGGAUUGGUGGAUUGCUAAGUGGGUGGAUGGGUGGAUGAGUGGGUGUGAGGAUGGAUGAAUAGAUAGUUGGGUGGAUGGAUGGAUGGAUGCAUGGAUGGAUGGAUGGAUGGAUGGAUGGAUGGAUGGAUGGAUGGAUGGAUAGGUGAACAGAUCAGGGGCCAAUUUCUGCUGUAUCUUAAGAAAUCUG